CAAGUCGCAUUUAAAACUCAACCAAUGCUACAAAAUGGCUGCCGUUUGAUCGAGCAAUCCAGGGAUAUUUUAUUACUUUAAUGUAUUUUAGCGGUUCAGUAUUGGUCAUCUAGUAGUGAUGUAAAGGAUGAAACUGAUGGUUACAAGCUAAUAACUCAAGAGAUUUGAAGUGACUUUAUAGCUGGAUUUCUUACGAUUAAAAGUAAGGUAAGAGAGAAGAAUCAAGAGAAAAGCUGA